CCAGUACCCUUUCAUUGACUUCCACACUAUUAACUUUGUGUCUAAACAUGAGAAGUCCUGCAGAGCCCAUCUCAUACACAGGUCUAAGUUACGCUUAUUGGCCCAUUCCGCAAUAAGAAGCACACAAGCCUAAACAGUGAACACAGUGACAGUAUCUCCCAUUCCGCAAUAGGAAUCACACAAUCCCAAACAGUGAAUGAAGUGACAGUAUCUCCCAUUCUGCAA